GUUUUAUUGUUAUGUUAUCGUAUAAUAUUAUGAUUUUAUAAUAAGUAUAUAGAACGUAUUAGGACGUACUAAGUGUGUAUUACCUAUAUGUAGCAGCUAUUUAGCUACUUAUAUUAUCCGUAUAUGCGGUUUGAUAACUGAUUAACUUAGAGGCCGAAAACAAUGAUGAGUUACGAAUAGUAUUUAGUAAUUGAAAUCACAUUGUUCCGUUCGGUGUAUAUAAGUACCGAUGUACAUAAUGAAAUGGACAGUGGCGGUGGAUAAUUGCAAUAACAAUACGUAUAUGGAUUUUUUUCCGUUAAAAAUUUAAAAACAAUUUUUGCUGUACAUCGAAAGUUCAGACAUCAAUGUAAAAUCAAUACAUUCAUCGCUUCACUGUCAGAAUCUAUGGAAUAUAGUUAUAUAGGAUGGCCAAGAGGAGUGUAGGAGUGAUCAUGUUCAAGUAUACAAACACACAAACCCGCCUAUAGCAAAAAAGUUUUAAUGCCAAAAAAGAAAAAUUAAGGGAAUAGUACAAGCUAAAAUCAAAAUUAGAAUAAUUGCCAAUGGACGACAACAUAAAUUAAGAUGGAGUCCAGACACCACCAUGCGCAAAUAUGUCCAGUGGCUACCUCUAUAUCGAACCCAUCACCGCAAACGCAAGAACAUUAGUUCAGACCCACUCGGCCUAGGGUGAUACCAUUUUACCGUUUAGUUUAUACAUUAAAAAUUAAAAUACCUUUUAAUACAUAAAAUAUUAAAGAAAGUCUUGAUAAAAAAUUAA